UGUUAGGCAAGCCUGGAUCCCACUGUGGGCUACAACUUAAUCGUGUGUCAGCAGGGAUCGACAGCAUCCAUCCGUGGUAGAAACGGAGAGAACACGGAAAGAGUAUCACCAGCCAAAAGAGGAGGAGUAGUCCAUUGCCAAGCUUUGAGCAAUAGCCAACGUUGGCCAAAGGGGAGGAUGGUUAGGCAAGCCUUGAUCCGACUGUGAGCUACAGCUCCAUCAUGUGUCAUCAGAAGUUUGGAGAGUAGAGAUCUACUGCAUUCAUCCAUUGAGGAAAAGAAGAUGAGACCAUCCUGUGGAAGAAGAAUUCACAAUGAAGAGAUAGACUGCAGGCCAGCC